GCCUUGGUGGCGGAACUGGUAGACGCGCAGGACUUAAAAUCCUGUAUGCAGCAAUGCGUGUGCGGGUUCGAUUCCCGCCUGAGGCA
rnacentral:tRNA from 1 species